rnacentral:rRNA from 1 species
GAUGAACGCUGGCGGCGUGCCUAAUACAUGCAAGUCGAGCGAACAGACGAGGAGCUUGCUCCUCUGACGUUAGCGGCGGACGGGUGAGUAACACGUGGAUAACCUACCUAUAAGACUGGGAAAACUUCGGGAAACCGGAGCUAAUACCGGAUAAUAUAUUGAACCGCAUGGUUCAAUAGUGAAAGACGGUUUUGCUGUCACUUAUAGAUGGAUCCGCGCCGCAUUAGCUAGUUGGUAAGGUAACGGCUUACCAAGGCAACGAUGCGUAGCCGACCUGGGAGGGGGGUCGGCCACCCUGGAACUGAGACAGGGUCCAGACUCCUGCGGGAGGCAGCAGUCGGGAAUCUUACGCAGUGGGCGAAAGCCUUGCGGAGCAACGCCGCGUGAGUGAUGAAGGUCUUCCGAUCGUAAAACUCUGUUAUUAGGGAAGAACAAAUGUGUAAGUAACUAUGCACGUCUUGACGGUACCUAAUCAGAAAGCCACGGCUAACUACGUG